UCCCAACCUGAGAAGCGGAGCCCAGGCAGAUUGUUCAUGUCCAGCACUGAUACAGCUGCUGCUCAGCAACACAAGAGCAAGGAUGACUCCCUGGAGCUACUGAGAAAAAUGGUGAACAUGGAAAAUCCCAGGACGAAGUACACUGAACUGGAAAAUAUUGGCAGUGGGACUUUUGGGGACGUUUGUAGAGCACUCGACACUGCCACAGGAGGAGAGGU